rnacentral:rRNA from 1 species
UACGUAGGGGGCAAGCGUUGUCCGGAAUCAUUGGGCGUAAAGAGCUCGUAGGCGGUUUGUCGCGUCGGCUGUGAAAACUCGGGGCUCAACCCCGAGCCUGCAGUCGAUACGGGCAAACUAGAGUGCUGUAGGGGAGACUGGAAUUCCUGGUGUAGCGGUGAAAUGCGCAGAUAUCAGGAGGAACACCGGUGGCGAAGGCGGGUCUCUGGGCAGUAACUGACGCUGAGGAGCGAAAGCGUGGGGAGCGAACAGG